rnacentral:rRNA from 1 species
GUAGGGUCCAAGCGUUAAUCGGAAUUACUGGGCGUAAAGCGUGCGCAGGCGGUUGUGCAAGACCGAUGUGAAAUCCCCGAGCUUAACUUGGGAAUUGCAUUGGUGACUGCACGGCUAGAGUGUGUCAGAGGGGGGUAGAAUUCCACGUGUAGCAGUGAAAUGCGUAGAGAUGUGGAGGAAUACCGAUGGCGAAGGCAGCCCCCUGGGAUAACACUGACGCUCAUGCACGAAAGCGUGGGGAGCAAACAGGAUUAGAUACCCUGGUAGUCCACGCCCUAAACGAUGUCAACUAGUUGUUGGGGAUUCAUUUCCUUAGUAACGUAGCUAACGCGUGAAGUUGACCGCCUGGGGAGU